AACAUCAAUACCUGAGCUGGUUGGCUGAAUAAAUAUGAAUAAAUAUUGAACAUAGCGGACUGUCAGAUUCCAUAAUGGUGUUCAUUGUAUUUAAAAGUGGUGUUUGGUCACUGUUGCCUGUCAUCUCUUUAAUCCUGUGUGAUGUAUCCACCACUGCUGCUGAACCAAGAGCAGCAGUUAGUCCAGCUUAUGGCUGUGUGCUUUAUAAUGAAACGUACAUCUGCAGUGGUUCUCAGUAUCACAUGUACUGUAACACAAGAAUGCAUCAUUUCUACUACACUGUAAAACCUGACAAGUCACAGUAAAUCAAACCGUUUGAGUAAACAGAUUGCCUUUACUUAAACCAUGUAAGUUUUAAAACUUUGCAAUUAUGUAAUCAAGUGAUUAAUUAAGUGCUGAUUGAGCUUUAGUGAUGAACAGCUGCUGUUAACAAACAGCAUCACCAGCUCCACUUAUUAAUAACCAGACUGACUUUAUUUCUGUCAGACGUCUACAGAAGAUCU
rnacentral:lncRNA from 12 species